rnacentral:miRNA from 1 species
CCUCCCUCUCCCUCUCUCUCUCUCUCUCUCUCUCUCUCUCUCUCUCUCUCUCACACACACACACACACACACACACACACAGAGACAGAGAGAGAGAGAGAGAGAGAGAGAGAGAGAGAGAGAGAGAGAGAGAUUUU